rnacentral:rRNA from 1 species
GGUUCAAUUCGACGCAACGCGAAGAACCUUACCCAGGCUUGAACAGCGAGUGACCACUCCCGAAAGGGAGCUUCCGCAAGGACACUCGUAGAGGUGCUGCAUGGCUGUCGUCAGCUCGUGUCGUGAGAUGUUGGGUUAAGUCCCGCAACGAGCGCAACCCUUGUCUUCUGUUGCCAUCAGGUUAUGCUGGGCACUCUGAAGAGACUGCCGGUGAUAAACCGGA